AGCUGCACCUGUCCGAAAGGCCUCUCCACCCUGUCCGCUCUGCUCGCACGGGCGCUGCGGAGGAUGCCUCCCACAUUUCAACCCUUCUUUGGGUUUACUCAGACCUGCAAAACCCCACACGCGGCCAGAAGGAGGAGGGAGCCGUGUCUCAGUGGUGCGACAGAGAGGAUGGGGGCAGGAGUCACAUCCAGUGUCCCAGGAACGGAAGGAAGGAGACCCCCGAGCCCCUCCCCGCCAGUGAACUUCAUAUUCUCCCCCUCUACCCCUGAGGCCCCAAUUCAAGGGCUGACCCAGAGGAUGAUGCCUUGCCAAGGCCCUGCCGCCUCCCAGUCCACCUUGGAGAGUCACCAUCUCCCAGAGGCCGCUGAAGAGGUUCUAUUUAUACCACUGAUAUAUGGGGAUAUGCCUUUCAAAUUUUCUAGAAGGAUUUGGAUCUACUUAUGCACCCUUCAUUAGGUUCCUAACCUGGACCCUGAUGCUGUCCCCGCAUACAAGCUACAAAAAGAAGAAGACAAGGCUGCUAGUGUCUUUCCUCUGGUUAUUAAUGUAAUGAGCUCCAUUAACCUCUCCUUGACAA